rnacentral:lncRNA from 1 species
AAGAACCAAAUAUUUUCGCGAUUGUAGUUCAAAUAUAUUGCAAGUAAACAAAAGUGGAAUGCCGACAGUAGAUAUAUCAUAAUGAAUCUAUGCUAGCAGCAAGUCCUAGACUCCUAGUAGUAUAUAGUAGGCAGCUUUGUCCCCCAUUUUUCAAGCAACAACCAAGAUGGCAAGCAUCUCGAAUAAACCCUAACCCUAAUCCUGUUCCAUUUUGCUGUUUCAACCUUUUUCCUGCAAGUGAAAAAAGAUUAUAGAAAUAUUAUAAUCUUAAUUACGAGAUAAAAUUAGUGGAUUAUAAAAUGAUUGGGGGUGGUGUAGAAAGUCUUAAAUGCUGCAGUAGUGAACCAAAUGACAAGGAAUGAAGGGACAGGGCUUUGAAUUAUGAGUGGGGGGUUUAGGACUAAUAGUAAUACCACUUGAUUAGAGACAAAGCAACCAAACCCUAAAGAUUUAAAGGGAAUUUGGCAGACAAUGUAAAUCAAGUUGAUCAGUAAUUAAUAUUUUAAUGAGGUUUUUGGUAAGAUUUUCUAAAGAUCCAGUAUCUCCAAUGAGAUUUUUUUUUGUCAAAAUCUCCAAUGAUAAUUGACUCCAAUGGAAUUGGUAACCAUGAACAUUGUUGAAUUAUUUAAUUUAAAGGUUUGUGCAAUUUUGUACUGGUCCAAAUAAUUUUUCCUUUUUGUGGCUAGUUAUCCCCAUUCACUCUCUCUGUACAAUGGGAUGUCCCUCGAAAGGAGGGUUUGGUGCUCUGUGAAUUCCGAGUGAGUCGAGGAACCUGCGCCGCCUCUCACCGGCGAGGCGUGUUUUCCUGGGGAUUAUUCCUAUCUCCCUGCUGAGUCGUGGAGAUCGAAAGUUCGGGUUUUGACGAGAGGAGAUCGAGGGUUCUGGGUGUGGGAGAAGUGGGUGUAUCUGGCUUCGAAUUCGGGGGCGGUGUUUACGGUGCGGGAGGGCGGGGUUUUCUAGAUAACCCCCCGACUCAAUACUUCGGGAGGACGCUGGUCUGGACGCUGUGAUAGACUAGGCAUAUCUGUGGGGUGAUCCCUGAAGUGGGUUGCGAUGAAUACGGUUGCUGCAGUCAUGGAUUCGGGGUAGAUAUGUGAAAUCUCUGUGAAUCGGAUCUAAGGGAUCUUUGAGUGGGCGUGCUUGGGGACUCUGGCAGCUAACAUGGCGAGGGACUGCGAUAGAAGGGAGCUAGAAGAUCUGGGCUCCCGUUUUGGAUCUAAACUGAAAUUAUCUGAAAAUGAGAGAAAAGGGAUCAACAUUGAAAGGAAAGAUGUGGAAGGAGCACUACUAGGAUUUCAGUAUACUUUGAUUGCUGAAGUUCUUACAACAAAUGAGGUGAAUGGCGAGGCGUUUGUUGAUUAUUUCAUGUCUUUAUGGCGGGGUAGGGAAGGAGUCUCUAUUCGAGAUAUUGGGGAGCGACGUUUCCUAGCACGGUUUGCGGGGCAACGAGAUCUGAGUAGAGUAGUGGAUGCGGAUCAACCUUGGACCUUCAAGAAUGACCUAGUAUUAGUGGCGGAUAGAACGGAAUCUGGGCUUAAUAGAUGGGCUCCGCUAUCUAUGGGAACUUUCUGGGUUCAGAUCCACAAUGUCCCCCCGCUCAGUAUGACUAUGGCGGUUGCUGAAUCCAUUGGGGGUCUGAUGGGUAUAGUCCGAAGGAUUGAUAUUGCGGGUAGCCGCGACUGUAUUGGGCGAUUUCUCCAGGUUAAAAUCAACUUCAAUGUUCGCGAACCCCUGAUGCGAGGAACUUAUGUGAAUUUCCCCGAUGAGGGGAAGGUUUGGAUUGAUUUUAAAUAUGAAGCGCUACCGAGAUACUGUCUAAUCUGUGGAAUGUUAGGACAUGCCACGAGAGUCUGCAAAAGUACGAUGUGUGAAUCAGGGCAACAAGAUGCGGACUCGGGGAACCUGGAUGAAGAGUAUGCUUUUCGUGGGUUGGAUGCGGUGACUGACCUCCGGGGAAAACUACUGGGGCUGGGUCCACGAAGUAGGGGCUCCGUCGGAUCCAAUGGGGGAGACAGAAGCUCUAGAAGGUGGAAGGAAGUCCGAAGUGAAGAACAUGAGGGAAUGUGGAAGUCAGGGCGGUCCUCCACGGCUUCCGGAACGGGUUUUCGUACACCUUCAGGUGGGGGGAGAUCUCGGAAUGAGGAGGGCAGCCAGGAUAAUGAAGACGAGGAAGUGAUUGAUACGGCUAUCUCGCCGAGUAAACCCCGAUGGUCGUCGAAUAAACCGGAGCAGAGGAACCCAUCCUUGGCAAUCAAAAUCCAGCGACAACGAAGUGAGGAGGAAGAGGCGAGAAAGGCCAGGGAAAGGGCUUUCGAUGAGGGUCUAAUUGGCCCAGGAGGUGUAGUUGCUGAUGGAGUUGAGCACGUCGUACUUAAGGAACUACGUGAAAAGGAGGAUGGGGAAAAGGUAGCGGCUAAUCUACUGGAGUGCACCAAAGGUUUUGAUUUGAAUGUUGUGAUGCACACCAUAAUGAAGUGGAACAGGAUCGGCCUACCAGAAUGAACAAACCGUUCAAGCAGGUGACUGACCAAUUCGGACGGGAAGGCACUAAUACUGCGAGCAGAGAUCCUUUUGAGUUGGAACCAAUUAUCAAGGCGGCGACAAAAGAGCAAAGAAGGAAAAAACGCUUGUAUACCGAGGUGGAGCAUUCAGGUCUAGUGGAACAGCUCGAACCAGAGAGCACCCGUCCAAGGAAGUGUUCAUUUUCUGAGGCGAAGGAGACCAGCCUUGAGGGGUCUCCCAAAUCCCCAUGAAGCUACUUGCUUGGAACUGUCAGGGUAUCGAGGGUGACCUGACGAUGGACAACCUGUUGGAAAUGAACAGGAUUCACACCCCCGACAUAGUGAUCUUGCUGGAGACUAAAAAUAAAAGCAAUCGCUAUAGUUUUUUGAAAAAAAAAGUUGAAUUUGGAGUUUAUGCACGCUGUGGAGCCUAGAGGGAUUGAAGGAGGAUUAUGUGUAAUGUGGAGAGAUGUUUCCCAGGUGGUGUGGAUAAAAUCUAGGGAAUUCAUGAUUGAGGCGGAAAUCUGGGACGAUUGCAAGCAAUGUGCCUGGCACCUAGUUGCUAUCUAUGCUAGUACGGAUGAGAAAAAACGGAGGGACCAAUGGAUGUCCCUAAGUCAACGGAUUAGUAGAGCUGGAGAAAGAUGUCUUUUAAUUGGAGAUUUCAACGACAUCUUGAGCAAUGAUGAAAAAGAGGGAGGCAAGUACAGAUCGGUGGCUAGCCUGCGGGACUUCCGGGAAUUUGUGGCGCGCAACGACCUUAUGGAUUUGGGCUACGAGGGCUACCCAUUUACGUGGAGGAAUAACAGGGACUCAGGACCAAUCCAACAGCGCCUUGACCGAGGUCUGGUUAGCAUGGGAUGGCAGCACAUAUACCCUGACACCAAAAUCCGACAUAUGGUGCUUGAGGGGUCUGAUCACGCGAUGCUUGGACUAACUACGGAGAAAGCUAGGAUAUGGAAAGGGAAAAGAUUUAUGUAUGAGGAAAGAUGGAGUAAGCAACCUGAGUGCCAGGAUUUGGUGGGGGAGGAAUGGCAAGUCAACUACAAUGGCUCCCAUGGAUACCGUCUAAGUGAAAAACUCAAAUCCCUUGGAAAGAGUUUGAAAGUUUGGUACAAAGGAAGGGCUCGAAACUCUAAACAGGCCAUUGACCGUUUGAAAGGUGAGAUUCGGUCUGCUUACAUGUCAAACAACUUCGCCACCACCGAGGUUCAAUUAAAAGAAAAGGAGUUAAGAGAAGCACACAAGGAAGAAGAGAGUUAUUGGAGGUCUAAAUCCAGAGUGCAGUGGCUGAAAGAAGGGGACAAAAAACACAAAGUUUUUUCAUGCCCAAACGAUGAAAAGACGACGAUACAACCAGAUUCGAGGAGUGGAAGAUGCUGACGGGAUUUGAAGGGAAGGUCAGAACGAGGUGGCUUCGAUUGCGGUGGGGUACUUCUCCACUCUCUUCCAAGCAGGCCCGCCAUGCCAGUUGGAAAACAUCGUGGACUGUAUGGAGCCUAGGGUGACUUUGGAGGAUAACCAAAUGUUGACCGGACCGAUUACGGAUAGGGAGAUUCAGGAGGCGGCUUUCCAGAUUCCUGCGUUUAGGGCUCCGGGGCCGGAUGGUUUCCCCGGCAGUUUCUACCAUGAUCACUGGGAGGUGGUGGGGCGGGACGUGGUUAACAUGAUAAAGGCUUUCUGGCACUCGGGUAAACUACUUCGAAACCUAAACCAUACUAACCUGGUUCUUAUUCCUAAAGUGGCAUGCCCAAAGAAUAUGAAGCAAUUUCGUCCUAUUGCUCUGUGUAAUGUUAGCUACAAGAUUCUGGCUAAGGUACUAACGAAUUGGCUGAAGAGAGUAAUGCCGAAUGUCAUAUGUGAUAAUCAAUCGGCUUUCGUGGCGGGGAAGCAGAUACAAGACAACAUCCUUGUUGUGCAUGAAAUUCUUCACUCCCUUAUGCAUCAAUCGAAGGCGGAUACUAUGGGGAUGGCAAUAAAAUUAGAUAUGGCUAAAGCCUAUGACCGGGUGGAAUGGGAUUUCCUCCUGGCCAUGAUGAGCAAACUGGGCUUUGACCAGAGGUUUUGCGACCGCAUCAAGGAAUGCAUUUCCACAGUGUCUCUCAGCAUACUACUAAAUGGCAACCCAACUGGCUACAUCAAGCCACAGAGGGGGUUACGACAAGGCGAUCCCUUAUCCCCAUAUUUGUUUCUCCUCUGUACUGAGGGUUUUUUGGCCCUAAUUCGGAAAGGUUUGGAGCAUGGAACUCUGCAUGGAAUUAGAGUCUCUCCCACGGGGAAGCCAAUCUCGCACCUUUUCUUUGCUGAUGACUCGGUCAUAUUCUGUAAUGCCUCGGCUGAGGAUGCUCGUGGGGUUGGUGACAUCCUGAGGACUUAUGCGUCCGGAUCCGGCCAAGAAAUAAAUUUGACCAAGAGCUCUAUCAUGUUUAGCCCUAAGACUAAGAAACGGGUUAAAAAGGAAAUUGUCCAUAUCCUGAACAUCCAAUGCAGGGAUGGCUUUGGGAAAUACCUGGGACUGCAGGCCGACUUUGGGCUGUCUAAAAAAGCUGUGUUUGAGGAGAUUCGUGAACGAAUUGAAUCUCGCAUGGCUGGAUGGGCGGAACAAUUUCUUUCUCAGGCAGGCAAGGAAAUUCUUAUCAAGGCAGUGGCAAUGGCAAUGCCCAACUAUGCCAUGAGCUGCUUCAAGCUCCCUAUUGGGGUGUGUAAAGAUAUUGAGAAAGCUGUUAGAAACUACUGGUGGCGGGGGAACGGGUGCAGGAAAGGGAUCCACUGGGUUGCCUGGGAAAAACUUCGAUCGCAGAAACGCAAUGGAGGACUAGGCUUUAAAGACUUCCAGUGUUUUAACCUUGCCCUUCUAGCCAAGAUUGGAUGGAGGAUCACUCUGCAACCUGACUCACUCCUUGUUAAUGUCCUGAGAGAAAAGUAUUUUCCUGGGAAAACUUUCGGGGAAGCCAGCGGAGGAAGAGGAACAUCAUGGGGAUGGAAAGGCAUUUUUGAAGCUCGGAAGGUACUUGCCAAUGGUAUUCGAUGGCGGGUGGGUAAUGGAACUUGUAUCAAUAUCAGGAAAGAUUCGUGGUUCCCAAAACCUUCCACUUUCAAGGCUCGGGUGAAUGAGGGACUGCAAGCAAGUAUGGUGAGUGACCUCAUUGAUCCUGAAACCCGUGAGUGGAAAACUGACAUUGUUAAAGGGGGUUUUUUGAAAGAGGAUGUGUCCUCGAUUCUUAGUAUACCUCUUAGCAGAUACGGCAUGAGCGAUCGCCUAGUCUAGCAUUAUUCUAAGAAUGGGGAGUAUACCGUUCGAACUGGAUACGGGAUAGCCUUGGGACUCAUGGAAAAUGGCGACCUGGGAAAGAAGGGAAGGGGAAUGCCAAGCUCUGCCCCAAGCCUCACUCAUGUUUGGAACAAAAUAUGGAAAUUGGAGGUUCCAAAUAAAAUGAAGUUUUUCAUUUGGAAAUGCUGCAAUAACGCUUUGGCUGUUCGACGGAAUCUGAAACGAAGAAAUAUGAGAGUUGACAAUAUUUGCGAGGGGUGUAUGCAGCCUGACGAGACGGAUAACCAUCUAUUUUUUCGAUGCGAAAUCAGUCAUAUUUUUUGGUUUUGCUCUCCUCUACAACUCAAUUCCUUCGAACUGGAAGGAACCGACUUCCUUGCUUCCUGGGGGUCUUUUUGCGGCAGAGUUAAGGGGAAAGAAAACGAAAUGGAGCUGAUGCAAGAAUUUGUGUUUGGGCUUUGGCGUCUCUGGAAAAACAGGAAUGAUUUAAUUUUCAAAGGAGUGUCCCAUAAACCCCUUGAUAUUCUCGGGCUCUGGACGAGGAAUCUGGGCGAGUUCAGGGCGGCGGGAUUUCAAAGAACAACAAGCGCUCAACCUACUGAUAGACUGUCGUCCCUUGUUCCGGCGAGAAGAUCCGGACUGUGGACAAAGCCGGCCUUCGGCACUAUCAAGGUAAAUACUGAUACUGCUUGGCGCAAGGAGACUUUAUAUGCAGGUGUAGGAUGGGUUGCUCGAGAUUUUGCUGGCUUGCUGUAGGCGGCGGAGGGCUCGGGAGGGAGACUAUGCCGUAGUGUUGCAGCAGCUGAGAUGUUAGCAAUCCGCACUGCUUUGGAAUUCUGUGUUCGUUGUGGUUUCAAUUCAAUGGCCAUCGAAUCAGAUGCUAAAAGCAUAAUCCAAAUGCUUCGGAAUGAGACUACUCCUGACUUUAGUUUGGAAUGUAUUUUUGGUGACAUCGUGACUCUAGCUCGUGGACUGGAGUCGGUAACUUACGAGUUUGUUUCUCGGGAAAGUAACCGUGCGGCGCACUCGGUGGCCAAGUAUGUUUCCAAGAAGGAAAGGAUUUUGUCUGGGACCAUAUUGGGCCUGAUUUUCUGUUUAAUAUUCUGGCUCAGGAUGUAAACCUAUCUAUUCGUUUAUAAAAUUUCUGCCUUUGGUUUAAAAAAAAAAAAAAAAAUUUCCUUUUCCCUAACUAAGUAUACUGCGUAAAAUUGUAUUAUACAAUUUUGAUAAAAAAAAAAUGUGUAUACCCCAUUACCCCAAAGUUGGAGAGAUUUUUCAUCUGUCCGGGCUACGGGCACAUACAUCAUAUGUCAUUAUACAAGUGGAUGGAUACUUGAAAAAAAAAAGAACUUCCUUCCACUUGUAUAAUAACAUAGAGAGUAAUGCUAGAGAAUACUAAAUUUGCAGACAAAAUUUGUAAACUAAAUGACUUGAAAAUUGUUUAUUAGAUUAUUACUUAAGCGUCCAUAAAUAUGCUCAUUUUCCAUUGCUGACACAUCAUUUAAUUUGUAAAUUUUGUCUAGAAAUUUAGUUACUCUAGCAUUGCUCUAAUACAUAUAACAUAUUAUUUCGUAUUUUGGGCACACUAAAAAAUCUCUCCCCCAAGUUAAUGUUCCAAUUAUUUUAUUUUAUUAUUCAUUUUUUUUUUCAACAAAACUUUUUGUAAAUUGUAAUUAUUCUCCUCCAUUUGGCAAAUGAAAAGGACAGAAAAAGAAUCCUACUGUGUAACUCGCAUAAUUCCAUUCCCUUUUUUUCCACUCCUAGCUAGGUAGCCAAGACAAGUUAUAGUAGCUAAGAUAUAUAUAAACUUGUGCUCGAUCCAGGUGUGGGAGAGAGGGAUACCAACCAACCAAUCAGUCAAAUAGAUAUAUAUAUAUAUAUAUAUAUAUAGAGCUUAAGGGGAGGAAUCCCUAUUUUUUGAAAAAAAUGGGGAUUAGGUGUGGGGCUCACUUUAUAUCUAAUUUUAACGAUCCGAACCGUCUAUUUUGUUAGUCUCAAUUCAUAGAUCAUCCUUGCAAAAUAUUAGCUAAAUUGGAAAUGUUUAAGACAUCUAAUUGGGUUCAAGGAAAUGAACGAAUACUUUGUUAUAUAAGAAAAUAUGAAAUUCGAUAUUGAUAAUUAAAUAGGCAAAUGGUUUCGGAUUGAAUUGAAUUUUUGCAAGGAUGAUCUAUGAAUCGAGACUAACAAAAUAGACGGUUCGGAUCGUUGAAAUUUGAUGUGAAGUGAGCCCCACACCUAAUCCCCAUUUUUUUCAAAAAAUGGGGAUCCCUCCCCUUAAGCUCUAUGUCUAUAUAUAUAUAUAUAUAUAUAUAUAAUAUGGGGUUCGAAUUCUGUAUUUUUAGUUACUUACUCAAUCCAAAUUUAAAUAGAAAAUUAGGAUCUUUUAUUUUGGCUUUUACCAUAAUUUAGUUAAAGGUAUAAACAACUAUCCAAAUGAACAUUUUUAAAAAUUGGGAGUUGGAAAUCUUGUGGAAAUUGAAGUGCAUGCUGUCAGUUAAGAUUAAUCACUUGAUAUUGGUUUCCCAAGUAGGGUGGCUUUGUGCAAUUUGGUGGAGGGAAUGAGGAGUUGGGAAUUUAUCUUUUCUUGAUUUGGUGUUUGUUAAUGCUGGGAAUUUAAUGAAUUUGUAGUUGCAAUGCUUGAUUUCUUUUGGAUACAGUUGCAGAGCUUGAAAGUUGCUCGAAUAAUGGUGAUCUUUUGAAAAAGUUGCUGAUGGCAUUUGAUAGCAAUUGUGUUAUUUUUAUUAUCCAACAUUGACAAUGCACUAAAAGUUUUAUUAUUAUUAUACUAUGUUGUUUAUACUAGUCAAUCCUGCAUUGUUCGUAAAGCUAAUUUAGUCUAAAAUAAUUAAUCGUAAUGAAUGGGGAAAAGAUUCUAUAUCCAAUACAAAAAUACGUACUACUUACUAGAUCAAAGAAGGCACAAAGAAAACUAUUUUGGAUGGAAUCGAAGGUGAAAGACCAAGGUUUGAAUGUAACUAAGUUUGUGAAACAAGCCACAAACAAACUAGCUAGUUGUGAAUCAAUUGGAAGCUACAAGCCAAGAACGAACUCACAGAGAGAGAGAGAGAGGUGACAAAUGCCAUGGGAGUGCAUGUGAACCUUGUUCCGGAAGUACGUGAAUAUCGCCAGUGCGCUUUCUCAAAUCCCAGUCUCUUCCGUCUCUCUCUGAUGAAUGCGUCUUUGUAUGAGUCAGUGCUUGUCACUAUAAAGACUGAAACCCCACACGUGCAUUUCUGACAGACACACCCAUUCGUAUCAAGUCAGACUGAUGAUCUGAUCAAGUUAUUUGCAGAGACGUUGAAAAGUGUACACACUCACAUGACAGAGCGAUCUUGUAUUCCCAAUACGAUCUCUAUUGAUUUUUUUAUGAGGAUCCUGAAAAUUCCUGAAUCUUGUUUGUUUAUUGUAAAUCAUACAAUCAGUUUUUAUCAAGUUAUAUUUUUAUUUAAUUUAAAAUGAUUUUUGAUAGUAUAAUAUAUGAUAAACAAAUAUGAUUCACGCAUUCUCAAGAUUCGGCAUGCGAAUUCCUUAUAUUCAACGCAGUCGCCCCACACGUGUGGCCGCAGGCCUAGUGUCUAGUGGCUGACCACCCUAUAACCCUAGUUUGACUUUGAGCUCACUUGUCACUCUCCCCCGUGCGAGUUUAUCCUCCCA